UUGUACGCUGGCGGCAGGCCUCACACAUGCAAGUCGCACGGUAACAGGAAGAAGCUUGCUUCUUUGCUGACGAGUGGCGGACGGGUGAGUAAUGUCUGGGAAACUGCCUGAUGGAGGGGGAUAACUACUGGAAACGGUAGCUAAUACCGCAUAACGUCGCAAGACCAAAGAGGGGGACCUUCGGGCCUCUUGCCAUCGGAUGUGCCCAGAUGGGAUUAGCUAGUAGGUGGGGUAACGGCUCACCUAGGCGACGAUCCCUAGCUGGUCUGAGAGGAUGACCAGCCACACUGGAGAUGAAACACGGUCCAGACUCCUACGGGUAGCAGCAGUGGAGAAUAUUGCACAAUGGGCGCAAGCCUGAUGCAGCCAUGCCGCGUGUAUGAAGAAGGCCUUCGGGUUGUAAAGUGCUUUCAGCGGGGAGGAAGGGUGUAAAGUUAAUACCUAUGCUCAUUGACGAUACCCGCAGAAGAAGCACCGGCUAACUCCGUG
rnacentral:rRNA from 1 species